GGGGAAUAUUGCACAAUGGGCGAAAGCCUGAUGCAGCAACGCCGCGUGAGUGAUGACGGUCUUCGGAUUGUAAAGCUCUGUCUUUUGGGACGAUAAUGACGGUACCAAAGGAGGAAGCCACGGCUAACUACGUGCCAGCAGCCGCGGUAAUACGUAGGUGGCAAGCGUUGUCCGGAUUUACUGGGUGUAAAGGGCGUGCAGCCGGGAAGGCAAGUCAGAUGUGAAAUCCGUGGGCUUAACCCACGAACUGCAUUUGAAACUGCUUUUCUUGAGUAUCGGAGAGGUAAUCGGAAUUCCUAGUGUAGCGGUGAAAUGCGUAGAUAUUAGGAAGAACACCAGUGGCGAAGGCGGAUUACUGGACGACAACUGACGGUGAGGCGCGAAAGCGUGGGGAGCAAAC
rnacentral:rRNA from 1 species